UUGUAUAUUGGGAUCCUACACAGAAUUUGGAACCCAAAUUUCUGGAUUCCCAGACGUGUGCUUGACCCACCAGGUCUCCAAAUUUCUGUGCCAUGUGGGAAGCGCCCAACUUUCUUUUAGGGAUGAGAUCCACUGGCUGUAAACUCAUCUGCGAAUCCUAUCACACAGGCCCAGCUGCGGCUUUAGGGAUGGCCUGUGACCUAAAAUGCCAUAGUAAAAAACAUAAUGGUGACCGGAGAUGGAGGGGUUGCAUCAUGUGGUAACAAAAGAAUGAAUCCACCCAGAGGAAGCAGAGCCAAGAAAUUGAUCCCUGUUGUUGGCGUCCUGGAUCAAAUCAUGUGAGCCAAUAAAUUAUCUUUAUUGCUUAA